rnacentral:misc_RNA from 1 species
GCCCAAGUCAAAAGAUUGGCAGUAGUUUCCUUUCCUGCAAAGUAGAAAGUCUUGCACUCAUCGAUAAUCUCCUCUUCGGUUAAUGUCUCUUCCUCCCCAUCUUUAUUAUUAUAUGAAGACAUUAGUAAACUAAGUAGAUUUCUUGAAUUUUCUCUUGCUCUGCUAUUAGUCUUGAUCAAUGUCCUAAUAGAUUCACGAGUUUCCUUAUCUAGUCUACACCUCUCUCUGUUCUUCUUGGUAGGCAAAAAUCUGAAGCCCGGGAUGUAGACGCUUCUUACAGACUGAGAGAAGAGGUGCAUGUGCUGUUCC